AAAGAAAAAAAGCAAAGUUUUGCUUGCCUCGGAAUGACCCCACCUCCCUGCUGAGCAAGAAAAAACCCCAACUCUGAAGUAGGUGGUGUGCUCUGUGCCCCCAUGGUCUGCUCCCGGCCAGUAGAUUCAUGAGGUGGGCAGGAUGUCAUCCACGGAGCUCUGCGGAGAUGGGAGAUGGCUCCGGAGGGUGCAAAAUGCAAGUUCAGGGGCAAAUGGAAAUCAGGGAAAUGGAAACUUCUGCUGCAAGGCUUGGCUCGUCGCAGCGAAGACUGGAGCCUUAAUUGGGGGAACUGCUGUGUUUGUUUCCCUCCUCCCCUGCAACAUUGAUCCCCAGCAGUGCGAGGAUUAGCAAGUGGCCAAAUGCAUCGGGAGGUGACCUUGCUCUGCCGUAAGCACUGGGCUGCCACGGGGAAGCAGGCAGCAUCCCCAUGGACCAGACAGUUUUACAACGUUAGAAGAAUGGAAAAGCUGCAAGGCAUGCACGCUCAAGAUGCUGUGCUCCUGGAAAGCUUUGGAUGGGCUCCAGGCAACAUUUGGUGGCAAAGAAAGAUGAAGGUCUCGAGGGGGAAAAAAAAAAAAUCAAGUCUUCAUCCUACAACCUUCCUGUUCCUGCGAGCUGGGAAUGUUGUCGAAGGACAGGAAAUGUGCGUUCUUGCAGUCGUGUCUUGCAUGGGGUUCAGCAGCAAGCCACCUGGUUGUGAAUUUACCUCCUCCAGCAGAUGCUCGUGUUCCUCCCCAUGGAUGGAGGAGCCAGGACAAGGAGAAGCAACAGCCCCUAUGGCACAUAUGGGACUCCUGCAUGUGAAUAAGGACCACUCAGGGACCCCCCCAUGUAUCUUCUUGGCCAAGGCUUUGGUUUUGGGAUGCGCAGUGGCUUCUUGGCCGUCAGCAGGUAUUUCUCUGCAUGGUGGGCUUU